rnacentral:lncRNA from 1 species
GGGGUUUCACCGUGUUAGCCAGGAUGGUCUCGAUAUCCUGACCUCGUGAUCUGCCCGCCUUGGCCUCCCAAAGUGCUGGGAUUACAGGCGUGAGCCACCGUGCCUGGCAAAUUUUUUAAAUUUUUAAUAGAGAUGUGGUCACGCUUUUUUGCCCAGGCUGGUCUCAAACUCCUGGGCUCAAGCAGUCCUCCCACUUCAGCCUCCCAAAGUGCUGGGAUUGUAGGCCUGACCCACUGCACCCAGCCCACUUUUUUUUUUUUUUGAUCUUGAACUCCUGACCUCAGGUGAUCUGCCCACCACAGCCUCUUAAAGUGCUGGGAUUACAGGCGUGAGCUACUGCGCCCGGCUGUUGGGAUG